AUAUACACAGAAGAACUUCUCCCAUCACCAAAAUGUGCUCAGUUUCCUUGGGUGAUCUCAUUCAGGAAACAUGGACAUGGAACAGUUAUUUUACUUAGAAAAGCUUCAAGAUUCCAGGAUGAAAGUGUGAGAAUCAAGGGGUUUUGGUGGCUGAUGUUAAUGCUGUGGAGAGCUGCUAAUGCAAGGCCCUGUGUGGCAGGGACGGAGUCUGCAAAGAUGAACUCAACGGCCAUUGCAUGGAGAUGAAGGUGAAGCUUAAGUUGCAAUAAACAACCUAAGACAUCAGAGAUACCAGGACUCUGUGAUGCUUGCCAAGGAAAGCCUCAGCAAGAGUAGAUUGGAGCCUGCACAAGGCAGAGGUCCUGUUCUCUGAAAACAAAUGCACUGGAGAUGUGUGGCUAUCCAAGGACAUUGGAGUCUGGAUGGCUUCAUUAUAAGAACCUAGAUAAUGAUUUAAGGUGCAGGAUUUGGUUUGGACCUGCUGGGUUUCAAUCUUGUCUUGGUCUGAUUGUUCCUGCUGUAAGAAAAAAAUAUUUCCCCUUUCAGAAUAAGAAGGUUUGCUUUACACCAUUGGAUAUAUCUAACACUUAUUUUGUAUUGUAGAGGGCCUCACAGUUAACCGAUUGCCUUAGACUUAAAUGAGAGUGUCUUUAAAGAGCUUGUGUGGGUAUGUCAAUAGAUAUGUAACUUAGGGGCAAAGGCCUACAAUGGGCAUCACUGGGUUGGAGGCUCAGAAAAAAAGGACAAAGCAAGCAGAACACUGGUGUUGAUCAGUCUGUGCUUCCUGACUGCAGACAGCAGGUGACCAGGUAUCGCCCAUUUCUGCUGCCAUGCUUUCUCCAACAUGACCCUGUAUGCUCAAACCAUGAAGCAAAAAGCUCCAGCGGUGACCCAAAGUCCACUCUUUCCUUUUUAUUUUUCUUGGGGAUUUUGCAACAGCAAUGACACUAAUACAGUAGCCCUUGGCAUGCUUUGCUUGCUCCUUAGUGUCAUACAUCUGAGAAUUUCACAUUUCAUAGUUCAGUUACCUUCUGUGAGUCAGAUGGAAUUUAAAAAUAAACGUCUAUUCUUAUCUAAAUAUUUGCAUAUAUAUGUUUUAAAUGACUAUAAUGUCUGCUAUAGUUCUUACUGCAUAAAAGUCUCAUGA
rnacentral:lncRNA from 1 species